CCUACGGGAGGCAGCAGUGAGGAAUAUUGGUCAAUGGGCUUACGCCUGAACCAGCCAAGUCGCGUGAGGGAAGACUGCCCUAUGGGUUGUAAACCUCUUUUGUCAGGGAGCAACGCCGGCUACGUGUAGCCGGACUGAGAGUACCUGCAGAAAAAGCAUCCGCUAACUCCCUGCCAGCAGCCGCGGUAAUACGUAGGGGGCAAGCGUUAUCCGGAUUUACUGGGUUGAAAGGGGGCGCAGACGGCGAUGCAAGCCAGGAGUGAAAGCCCGGGGCCCAACCCCGGGACUGCUCUUGGAACUGCGUGGCUGGAGUGCAGGAGGGGCAGGCGGAAUUCCUGGUGUAGCGGUGAAAUGCGUAGAUAUCAGGAGGAACACCGGUGGCGAAGGCGGUCUGCUGGACUGCAACUGACGUUGAGGCCCGAAAGCGUGGGGAGCAAACAGGAUUAGAUACCCGUGUAGUC
rnacentral:rRNA from 1 species